rnacentral:rRNA from 1 species
CGGCGGACGGGUGAGUAAUGCCUAGGAAUCUGCCUGGUAGUGGGGGACGAACGUUUCGAAAGGAACGCUAAUACCGCAUACGUCCUACGGGAGAAAGCAGGGACCUUCGGGCCUUGCGCUAUCAGAUGAGCCUAGGUCGGAUUAGCUAGUUGGUGAGGUAAUGGCUCACCAAGGCGACGAUCCGUAACUGGUCUGAGAGGAUGAUCAGUCACACUGGAACUGAGACACGGUCCAGACUCCUACGGGAGGCAGCAGUG